rnacentral:lncRNA from 1 species
AACCGGGAAGCAUUUCCGGGGGCGGGAGGCGCAGGCUGAGUCGGUCGCGGCGGCGACGGCUUGAACGGGCCUGAAGCCGGUGGCGGAAAGUGUCCCGCGGGUGGGUUUUGCGAGUGCGGAGCCCUUAGCAGCAC